rnacentral:rRNA from 1 species
CACGCCUAACACAUGCAAGUCGAACGGUGGCAGCAAUGUCAUAGUGGCGCACGGGUGCGUAACACGUAACUAACCUGCCCACACCCGGGGGAUAGCCCGCCGAAAGGCGGAUUAAUACCGCAUAAGAUAAUAGGGUGGCAUCACCUACUUAUUAAACAUUUAUCGGGUUUGGAUGGGGUUGCGGGUCAUCAGCUACUUGGUAAGGUAAUGGCUUACCAAGGCAACGAUGACUAGGGGAGCUGAAAGGCUGGUCCCCCACACGGGCACUGAAAUACGGGCCCGACUCCUACGGGAGGCAGCACUACGGAAUAUUGGGCAAUGGCCGAUACCCUGACCCAACCAUGCCGCGUGCAGGAACAAGGCUCUCUGAGUCGUAAACUGCUUUUGAUAGGGAAGAAUAACCACUACGUGUACUGGGAUGACGGUACCUACAGAAUAACGCACCGGCUAACUCCCCGCCAGCACCCGGGGCAAA